rnacentral:rRNA from 1 species
UACGAAGGGGGGCUAGCGUUGCUCGGAAUUACUGGGCGUAAAGCGCACGUAGGCGGCUUUGUAAGUUAGAGGUGAAAGCCCAGGGCUCAACCUGGGAAUUGCAUUUGAGACUGAAUAGCUAGGGUGCGGAAGAGGGAAGCGGAAUUUCCGGUGUAGCGGUGAAAUGCGUAGAUAUCGGAAGGAACACCAGUGGCGAAAGCGGCUUCCUGGUCCAGCACCGACGUUCAGGCACGAAAGCGUGGGGAGCAAACAGG